rnacentral:lncRNA from 1 species
GGUUUUGGGCUUUACAUCUACAAUUACCACCUUAUCUGAUUCAGGGGAUGAAGAAGCAGUGAUGGGUUUAGGAGACGGUGGAUUUCUUGAAGUGGGUUUUGAAAGGGGAUUAAAAAGGAAAGGUUUGGGAUGAAAAAGAUUGAAUCUUGGACCAGUAAGAUUGAAUCUUGAACCGGAAUUAGAUGAUCGAAGGGAGGAAACUUGACGGAGAGCAGCGGUAGGAAUGGCGAAGGAACGUGAUCGCAGAUGGUGAUAGGAGAGACGAGAGAAAGAUGUGGUGGCGGCUGCGGCGGCAGAGGUGGCUGAAGAUGGAGAGUGAAGUGCCAAUCUCUCCAUUUUUUUUUUCUCCGGCAAAGAGUGAAGUGAAAAGAGAAAAGAGAUGAAAUGUGAAAAGGGUGAGGGAGGGACCUUUGGGGUGGCGGAAACUACAAUGGCCACAUAAUAGAUCGUUUGAGAGGGUAAGGGCCACACUAAAUAAAGUAAAAUAAAAUAACAAGAGAAAAAGCUUCAACAAUACUCGUACAAGAUUGGUGAAGUCACCCUUGUAAUGUUCAUUCCAAUGCUUAUGGUAACUCCAAGGUGGUAGGUUUUUCAAAUGUAUGUGUUGCGUCUUUCAAAUUAAAAAAAAGAGAUAGAUUGUAGACUAGUAUUUUGUGAUACCAUUUUCUAAUAUAUUUAUAACGCUGCAAUCACUUGUAUGCGCUCAAUAAAUCACGGCCUCUCUUCUCAGUUAUAAAAUUUGAUAACCUUUGAAUAUACGUAUUCCAAAUUUAUGUACUCUUUCUUCAAAAGGAAAAUGAAAUGUCAUGCUAAUUGAUCAAGUUUGUCCUGUCUCUAACAUUGAGGAACAUAUAAGAACAAGAAUAUGUGAAUUAGACUAAUAUAGAAGGGAUGAGGAAAUCAGAUUUAUCAGAAUAGAGUCUAUAGAUGAGAGAUGGAAUAUUAAACAUCACAUUAAGCAGUGCGAUUAUUAAUAAAAUUCUGUAACAUCUUGUUAGGCCCAACUUUUUUAAUUGAAUGCUCUCAUUCUCCCCUUCUAAUUCAUAGUGUCUACAAAAUCAAACUUGGAAUUAUUGAUUGGGAUGAUAUAUUAUCAUGUGAUAUGGAAGUGAGUAUUGGGCUUAAUUAUUGGCCUUUCGUUUGCCCCAAAUACCAAAGAGGACCAAAUGGCCACCAACUAUGUUUGGCCUUUCAACUUGUUUAUGCUUGGAUAUAUAUACGAAUAUUUAAGAGUUAGGACACAUGAAAUUCAAUUACCUUCUUUUGAAAUUGAUAACCAAAUAUUGAUAAGAAAAUGUUCAAAGGAAAAACAAGUAGGGAUAUUAAUUACAAUACUAACGAUAUAAUUUUAUGGAGAGAGUGGUACGUGCUCAAGUCUGGGGUUGACAUGUCGUGAUUUGGAAGUGAGUAUUGGGCGUUUGCAUUUUAAAUAUGCGUCUAAGAUUAAAAAGUAUUUUUUAACUUGUAAUUUUUUGCUACAAAUACAUCGAACAGGCUCAAGGUACCUAAGAAAUUCCAAGUCAGAAAAUUUUAAUUGUUUUCCUUUCACCAAUUGUUUUAGGUUUUUAAAUCUUAAAGAAUUUUAUUAAGAAAAUAUUCAUAAAAUCAAUUAAUUAAAUUUUUUUAAAUUUUUUUAGUAAUUUAGUUAAUUGAUUGCAUAAAGUUUCACCUUCCCGAUAAGAGUUUAAUUCCCUAUGGCCUCCAUUCCAAUCUCUCUAUGGCCUCCAUUCCAAUCUCUUUUUUUCCUUUUUUUUUUUCAUUUCACUUCAUUAAAUAAUUUGUUUAUUAAUUAAAAAAUUCAUUCAUAUUUAUUAUUCUAAUUAUACCUAAUAAGUUAAAACAAAACCUUCAUCUAUUUACAUUCCCUACUUAAAUAAUAUGUCUUUUCAAUUUAUUUUUAAUUAUUCUUAUGGUUUACACAAACUAUAAAUAACAACUAUCUAUGUUCAAUGAUCAUUCUCAUUUUCUCAUUCUUUCUUUUUAUUAGUAUAGUUUUUUCCUCUUUUAUAUUUUUUUCUUCAUCUUUUUCAUCAAUCAUGUACUUAAUAAGUUCACCAUAUGAUCUUCAUAUUGAUAAAAAUCAUAGAUAUAUUAUUCAAGAUUCAUCAAAUUGAUGUUUGCAUUAGUUUGGUACAAGUUUAUGAGAAUGAAGAAGGAAUCAUAAUUAUUUCAAGAUUUCAUCAAGAAGAUGGUCAUAUUAGUAAAAUAGUUUGAAUGAUUUCUAAAUAUUUUGAAGAUUAAUUCAUUCAUGCAUUGUUUUGAUUAUAUUUUUUAGUUAGAUAUAUAAUUUCAUGUUAUUCAACAAAAAUUAAAUUAUGAAACUCUACUAAUCAACACAUUAGAAAGCUCAAUUAACAUUAUUUUCUUCAUUUUACUUUGCUCUUUUUCUUCUUCUUCUUCUUCUUCUUCUUCUUCUUAUUAUUAUUAUUAUUAUUAUUAUUAUUAUUAUGUGAAUGGAUGAAGAUGAAAAGUUAUUUAGUUUUAUUUUUAUGUAAUUUUUUCGUCAAGUUCUAAUUAAUAUUUUAAUUUUUGUCACAGUUGAAAAAUAUAAUAUUGCACAUGAUACAUUUCUUAUAGCUAUUGCAUCUCGAUGUCCCUAAAAAAUAUAUUAUGUAGUUUAUCAUAUUAAAAAAUAGUCAUAGACUAAACAAAAAAUACAUCUAAUUUUCAAUCCCAAUAGAUUAAUUUUUCACUUAUUUUUUUGACCUUCUUCUGAUUAUAAUUUUAGAAUAACAAUUUUAAAAAAAUAUUUUAAGUUAUUUUCUCUUUAUUAUUUACUUACAACCAAUAUAUCUUAUUUACAUAUAAAGUUAAAAUGUUAGAAAUAAAUAAGAUGAUGUGGUACAUUUCUAUCACCUCCGAUCACAUUUAUCUUUUCUUUAAAUUAUUUAGCAUGUUUUUUAUUUUUCUUAAUCAGUGUGAUAUUUUAAAAUAUAUUUUUAAAAUUUCCUCUUCAAAUAAUUACUUAAUAGUAUUAUUUUGCAUAAUUAACAUUUUUUUAUAUAUGUAACUUUUAUUUUUAAUUGUUAAUUGUUAAUUAAUAAUAUUCAUGACUUCAAAACCUUUCACGUGGAUAACCCCCUAAAGUAAUUUAUGUGCAAGUUAUAUAGUUUUUCUUAUCUUACUUAGUUGCUACAAGUAACAAUUUUAAAGAGAUUUUCUAUAGAGUUUUUAUAUUUUAUUAGUAUUUUUUAUAUAUAUUAUAAAUUUAUAAGUGUUUAUUAACAGUUUGGUAUAUUGCAACAGUUACUUUUUUUUCGUUCUGUAAUAAUAAUUAUUGUGUUGCUAUUUUUUUAAAAAAUAUUGAAUGUUUGCUUUUCAUUUUAGAUUCAUGUUAAAUUAAAAAAAUUAAGUAGAGUAUAUUGUUAGUUGAAUAAUGAAAAUAUGAUACUCCUAUUGAAUUGCUUAUUUAGUGUUGACAUGAUUUCUCAAUAUACCGAAGAUGAUUUUCACCAAAAUAAAAGUCAACCUUUUAUUAUUUUACAAGCAAUAGAUUCUAAAAGAUGUAAUUAUUUUUAGAUAAAAUAAUAUGAUAAGCAUGACUUGAAAUUAGUUGUAUAUUUCCACUCUAGGAAUUUCAUUCACCCACACCCCCCCCACACACACAUAUAUAUAUUUUUUCAUUAAUAUUUUUUUAUGAACACUGUAUAAUUUAACUCCCUCCUAAAAUAUAAUAUAGAAUUUACUACAGCCGCAUAAACAAAAAGAAAAUUUUCAUGAAUUUUUUUUUUACAUGUUUCUAAAGAUAACAUACCAAAUAGAUUAUACGAAAUCAACUAUAUUUAAAAUACUAAAAGCAUAGAUAGUGAACAACAAGUUGAAAAAUAUAACUUAUUGGGUUUAUGAUAAUAAUGUUUGACUCGAUAUAUUUAAACAAAAAAAUUUAUUCAUAAUGCUAAUAAUGUCCGAGCGAAGUGCGGAUAUGUUAACUAGUUAUAAUAAAAUUUAAAUCAAAAUCAAAUCAAUAUUAAUGUAAAAAGAAAAUCAAUUAACACUAAGAAUGACAAUAAUAAUGGAUAUUUUUUCUUUGGUUUUACAUUGAUUUAGUCAAUUGAAAUACAUAAUCUAAUUUUAAUUUCCUUUAAUAUUUAGUCAUGUAACGAAUACUCCCUCAAUCCCAUAAUAACUUAAGCUUUGAUCUAUUUUCCAUUUUUCAACUUAACUUAACUUUUCAAUUUUCAAGACUAUUUUUAAAAUAUUCUUCCAAUUUUAUCCUUUAAUUUAGUAUUGAAAUUAGUUAUUAUAAUUAAUGUUUAGUUAUUUUUGACAAUAAUUAAUAAUCAUAAAAAUGAAAAAUUGCAUUCAAUUAUUUAUGUCCUAACCUAUUUUUCUUAAAGGGUGUUAAACACCUAAAAACUUAAGUUAUUAUGGAAUGAAGGGAGUACUUAUAACUUAUUUUAGCAUGAUUUAGUAUUUUUAAACUAUGAUCAUUUUCAUUAUGACUUGUUAAUUUGCAAUGUUUGUUUUACGCGAUUUCAUUAUUAUUAUUAUUAUUACAUUUUUUAUGUCAUCAAUCAUAUAAUUGUUUGUGUUAUAUUCUUAUGAAACAUCUUAGAUAAUUAUAUUUUGGUAGGACUAAAGAAAUAUUUGAAGUGGAAGUAAAUUAUACAUUUGUAUGAAUAUUUUAACGGAAAAAAUCCGAGAUUGAAAAAUUAGAGUUUUUUUUAAAAAAAAAUAUAGAGUAGUUUAUAGAUUUAAAAAUACUAUAUAAAUAAUUUAAUUUAAUAUUUAAAAAAUCUGAACCAAUCCGACCAUUUACGUCUUUAUUAGUACGAAAUAUGAAGAGUGUGGUUAUGCAUAAUCAAAAGAGAAUAUUGUGUAAGACUUUGAGAGCUAUAAAAUACAAUCAUAUUUGAUAGGAUGAAGAAAGUGUAACGCACGAUAAUUGAAGCCCCUAAAUUGUUUAAUCCAAUUUCCAUGCCAUGUGUUUAUUAAAAUUAGUUGCAUAAACAUGCAUCUUGAGCUGUGAAACUAAUGGCCUACCAAGUCUAUGUAUGUAUGUUUAUGUAUAUAUAUAGUAGCAAAAAAAAGAGAGAAGCUACUCAAAUCAAACUUGCUCGUUUGUUUAUUAAGUACUCAUCCAUCCACCAAAUUAAAAUCGUAAAUGGCUUGCAGGUUAGAUAUCGAAAUUCAAUCAAGGAAAUUGUUGAAACCCUCAGCUUCUACUCCGGAUAAUCUACGGAGGCUGAAGCUUUCCUUGUUCGAUCAGCUGGCUCUUCGUACAUAUAUACCGGUUCUCUUCAACUACUUGCCGAGCAGCAGUUCAACAUCAUAUGAUGAUGAGCUUGAAAAAUCAUUGGCCGAGACGCUAACCAAGUUUUACCCUUUUGCUGGAAGAUUUGCAAAAGAUAUUGAUCCAUUCUCCAUUGACUGCAAUGAUGAAGGUGUUGAAUAUGUUCAAACCAAAGUCAAUGCAGACGAUCUCGCCCAAUUUCUCCGUGGUCAAGCCCAUAAUGAUAGUGAGUCGUCUUUGAUUGAUCUUCUUCCAAUAAAAGAUGUCGAGCCAUCAUCGCCAUCGAGUCCGUUAUUUGGUGUCCAAGUGAAUGUAUUUAAUAACGGAGGAGUAACCAUUGGGAUACAAAUUUCACAUAUCGUAGCUGAUGCUUUCACUAUGGCAACAUUUGUAAAUGAAUGGGCGCACACUUGCCUUACAGGCCGGACCGUCAGUAAUAAUCCCGGUUUUGGUCAAUUGUCAUUGCUCUUCCCAGCAAAAGUGCUACAGUUUCCAUCUCCAUCACCUGAUCUCAACACUAACACUACUACAACUGGCCCUAAUUAUAAGAUUGUCACAAGGAGGUUUGUCUUUGAUGCUUUGGCAAUAGAAAACCUCAGAAAAACAAUCAAAGACAAUGAUAUGAUGAUGAAGCAACCUUCUAGAGUGGUGGUCAUUAUGUCUCUAAUGUGGAAGGUUCUUACACACAUUUCUUCCGCCAAAAAUAAUGGAAAUUCAAGGGACUCGUCUUUAGGAUUUCCUAUUAAUAUGAGGGGAAAACUGUCAUGUACUGCACCCUCUUUAGAACAUGCUCUAGGGAACUAUGGAAUGAUGGGAAUUGCUGAUAGGAAGGCAAGAAGAAAGGAUGAUGAGUUGAAUGAUUUUGUAAAGUUGGUAGGAAAUACCAUAUGGAACACAUGUGAAGCCAUUGGUAAGGCGGAAAGCGUUGAUGAUAUUUCCUCUCUAGCAUUUAACAAUCACAUAAAAGGUGUAGAAAAACUUCUCCAAGAAGACAAGAUGGACGUUUAUGGCACCACUAGCUGGUGCAAAUUACCUUGGUAUGAAGCUGACUUUGGUUGGGGAAAACCAUUUUGGGUCAGCCCCGUUGGCCUCAAUCUUAUUGAAGGAGCUAUUCUGAUGGACACAAAAGAUGGUAAUGGAGUACAACUAACAAUUUGUUUAAAGGAGAAAAACAUGACUGAAUUCGAGAAACACCUUCACAUAUUUUCCUCCACUCCCAUACUUGGAUAAAAGGAAUUUCUUAUUUUGCUAUGAUAAUUUUUUAUGUAUGUAUGUGUGUGUGUUAGCCCCUCGGCGCUAAUUGAUAUAAUAUCUUUAUUGUCUUGUUGGUUUAGUAAAAUGAAUUGAUUAUUAUUAAUAGGCAUAAUGCAUAAGUGAAUAUUCACAAUAACACAACAUCAAGGAAGGGAAAUUUUGUUUUAUCAUUUGAUCAAAGGCCUUUUUUGGUCAUGACUAGCCAACAUCAUGAUAAGUGAAUACGAUAUAUGUAACGAGUUCUUGCCUUUUUUGGUCAUGACUAAGCACAUAACUACUUUAUUAGACUUAUAAGUUAUAAAAUGAACAAUUUCAUAACAAUAUAUGCUUAUUCAACAGAAGGAAACUGCUCAUCUAAACUAGCAGGACUGGACCUUAUAUGCAAUACUAACCCCAUAUAUGUAAUGUGUUCUUGAAAGAGAGAGAUGCACAACCAGAAAAUAAAGUAAUACUUAAUCAAAUGCAUAAUGUCUUCAGUUGCAAAUUCAAGAUAAAUACCAAGUCUUCAGGCAAAGAUCACUCAAACAUAAACCCCACAGCUAUCUUAGAAUCAGUAAUUGCAAAUCUCCUCAUGGUUAGCGAAACUCUUUCUAGAGAAGUGAGAACAAUGACUCUCUCAACUAAUCCAGCACAGCUGCUUACAAAUUUAUCUAUUUGAUAAUAGAUUGAAAUUAUACAAACUUACAUUGUAAAAAUAACAAUUACCCUAUCAAUAGAACCUAAUAGUUUAACCUAUUUUAGCAUGCCAAUAGCCUUAUUUUUCAGGUUAGAGUCUUGGUCAAAACUGAGGUUAUAAGUCCAAGAAAAGCCCAUGCACCUACUGGCAAUGGGCUGAGGACCAAACCAGCGAUUGUUGAGAGGAAAAUGGAGAGCAAUUGCCAUGCUUGAGGAGAAACUUCAGGUGGUCUUGGAACCAAGAAUCGGACUAUAAGACCAAUUGAAACAGAAAUAAUCAAAGGAAUGAGCUUCGCACCCUGGGUUUUGGGCUUUACAUCUACAAUUACCACCUUAUCUGAUUCAGGGGAUGAAGAAGCAGUGAUGGGUUUAGGAGACGGUGGAUUUCUUGAAGUGGGUUUUGAAAGGGGAUUAAAAAGGAAAGGUUUGGGAUGAAAAAGAUUGAAUCUUGGGCCAGUAAGAUUGAAUCUUGAACCGGAAUUAGAUGAUCGAAGGGAGGAAACUUGACGGAGAGCAGCGGUAGGAAUGGCGAAGGAACGUGAUCGCAGAUGGUGAUAGGAGAGACGAGAGAAAGAUGUGGUGGCGGCUGCGGCGGCAGAGGUGGCUGAAGAUGGAGAGUGAAGUGCCAAUCUCUCCAAUUUUUUUUUCUCCGCAAAGAGUGAAGUGAAAAGAGAAAAGAGAUGAAAUGUGAAAAGGGUGAGGGAGGGACCUUUUGGGGUGGCGGAAACUACAAUGGCCACAUAAUAGAUCGUUUGAGAGGGUAAGGGCCACACUAAAUAAAGUAAAAUAAAAUAACAAGAGAAAAAGCUUCAACAAUACUCGUACAAGAUUGGUAAAGUCACCCUUGUAAUGUUCAUU